UACGUAGGGCGCAAGCGUUGUCCGGAAUUAUUGGGCGUAAAGAGCUCGUAGGUGGUUUGUCGCGUCUGUCGUGAAAGCCCGGGGCUUAACUCCGGGUCUGCGGUGGAUACGGGCAGACUAGAGGCAGGUAGGGGAGAACGGAAUUCCCGGUGUAGCGGUGAAAUGCGCAGAUAUCAGGAGGAACACCGGUGGCGAAGGCGGGACUCUGGGCCGAUAUUGACGCUGAGGAGCGAAAGCGUGGGGAGCGAACAGG
rnacentral:rRNA from 1 species